GUUUAUAGUAGAAAACGAUUUUGCGAACUGACUGCAAAAAUGAUUAAUGGAUGUUGCAAAAAAAUUCGGGAAAUUGGUUUUACAUUAUUAUGAUUUCUGGUAUGACUUCACACCUAUAAUCAACUUGAGUCACCUGCUUGGCAUUUACCAGUGCCGAUAAGAAAAAGAUACGAUAAGAUAAAAUCAAUCAAUAAAUAAAAGGGAACACUUGCGAUUUUUCAAUUAGCAAACCAACCAAGUUGAAAUCAAAUUACUUAGUUUUCAAAUAGAUACGUGUUGAAAAGCAGCAACUUUUUUUAUUUGAUUUGAUUCGAUUCAAUUCAUGGCUAUAACAAAGAAUUCUGAUACUUCGGCUCUUUGCUAUGGUCCACCUCCACCUCCAGGGCAUCCGGGACCUCCGCCUCCCGAUGAUUGUUGCGGGUGCGGCCCCGGAGGAUGUUGUGGACCUGGUUGUUGCGAUUGUGGGCCUGGAAGGCCAUGCGUUUGUGUCUGCACCAUAUUAUAAUUAGGCGAUUCUGGAUAUUCCGGAAAUUGUUCAUCGAAGGAAGCGAUCGUUACAAGUGAAUAAAUUUUUAAAUUGUAAUUAAAAAUUACAAACAUUUCCUGAGCUGGUAGUAAUAUCGAAGGUGACUGAUAAAUAGUGAUUUAUAAGCGACUAACUAGGAGAUAAUACUAUAGUAUGUAGCUACAAAUAAAUAGAGCUGAUGCCAAUGAAA